AUUUCCAAAUUUACGGGACCGAAACACGUUAUAAAUACGACAUGUUUGGUCCGAGAGACUCACACCAUUUUUCCUUCACCUCGUAUCUCGACAUCCCUUGUUGCUCGAGAUUUCUUUCCUUUCUUUCUGAUUCUUGAUUUGAAUACUGAAGCUUUCCAUGUUUCACAUAUCAAUCACCAUCUUUUCCAUACUCGCGAGUCCAUCGAACACCUAUAAAUAUCGACCCACACCUUCACACGAACCUGCAUCUUUUUCCCGACACCCUUACCCACUCUCGAACAUACCUUCUGAAUAAGCAAACAAGCACCACUCGGAACUCCGUUGAGUCGUGUAACCUACAACAAGAUAGACGCCGCCGGAAUCCAUUCGAGUUCACAACAUAGUUUGCUCAACCUUACACCCUGGUCGGAGAAGCUAGUCGUCACCGGAGAUCAAGAGGACGACCAGAAACCUCCACGCCGUUCACGUUUCGGUAUAUACCUUCUUAUUCCGUAUGGUUUUCUGUUAUAUAUUUUGUUCCAUUCGAGCGUUUAAUCUUUUGGUAUUGUAUAUUCUUAACUGUCCGCGUUUUUCUCUUGUUCACUCAAUAAACGUUACGACAACGGAGAACAAACCGGAGAUAACCAAAGCCGCCGGAAACCACCGGAGUGGACCGAGCUCACCGGAGCCGUAUGGAUAUCACAACGGGGAUCAGUUCGUCACGUACGCGGUUAACCUUCGUUGAUCCAAGUCUUUCAAUCAUUACUCGUGCAUUAUCUUACAAGAAGCGCAACGCAAUCAAUGUUGAAAGUACAAGAUUCAAGAAUCAAGCUAGGAUGAACUCUAGAAACUCACAUAACAUUUGAAUUAUUGUUGAACAAUAUGUUGUGUUGUUUGGAACUAUGUAUUUCACUUUAAAGUUUAUGAAAUGAAUUAAAUAAAUUAUUGUCA